rnacentral:rRNA from 1 species
AGAGUUUGAUCCUGGCUCAGGAUGAACGCUGGCGGCGUGCUUAACACAUGCAAGUCGAACGAUCCUUCGGGAUAGUGGCGGACGGGUGAGUAACGCGUGGGAAUCUGCCCUCAGGAGGGGGAUAACGGCUGGAAACGGCCGCUAAUACCCCAUAUGCCGAGAGGUGAAAUGAAUUUCGCCUGAGGAUGAGCCCGCGUCUGAUUAGCUAGUUGGUGGGGUAAAGGCCUACCAAGGCAACGAUCAGUAGCUGGUCUGAGAGGAUGAUCAGCCACACUGGGACUGAGACACGGCCCAGACUCCUACGGGAGGCAGCAGUGGGGAAUUUUCCGCAAUGGGCGAAAGCCUGACGGAGCAACGCCGCGUGAGGGAUGAAGGCCUCUGGGCUGUAAACCUCUUUUCUCAAGGAAGAAGACCUGACGGUACUUGAGGAAUAAGCCACGGCUAAUUCCGUGCCAGCAGCCGCGGUAAUACGGGAGUGGCAAGCGUUAUCCGGAAUUAUUGGGCGUAAAGCGUCCGCAGGCGGCCUUGUAAGUCUGUUGUUAAAGCGUGGAGCUCAACUCCAUUUAAGCAAUGGAAACUACAAGGCUGGAGUGUGGUAGGGGCAGAGGGAAUUCCCGGUGUAGCGGUGAAAUGCGUAGAUAUCGGGAAGAACACCAGUGGCGAAGGCGCUCUGCUGGGCCAUAACUGACGCUCAUGGACGAAAGCCAGGGGAGCGAAAGGGAUUAGAUACCCCUGUAGUCCUGGCCGUAAACGAUGAACACUAGGUGUCGGGGGAAUCGACCCCCUCGGUGUCGUAGCCAACGCGUUAAGUGUUCCGCCUGGGGAGUACGCACGCAAGUGUGAAACUCAAAGGAAUUGACGGGGGCCCGCACAAGCGGUGGAGUAUGUGGUUUAAUUCGAUGCAACGCGAAGAACCUUACCAGGGUUUGACAUCCUGCGAACCCCUGAGAAAUCGGGGGGUGCCUUCGGGAGCGCAGAGACAGGUGGUGCAUGGCUGUCGUCAGCUCGUGUCGUGAGAUGUUGGGUUAAGUCCCGCAACGAGCGCAACCCACGUCUUUAGUUGCCAGCAUUCAGUUGGGCACUCUAGAGAGACCGCCGGUGAUAAACCGGAGGAAGGUGUGGAUGACGUCAAGUCAUCAUGCCCCUUACAUCCUGGGCUACACACGUACUACAAUGCUACGGACAAAGGGCAGCAAGCUCGCGAGAGUUAGCAAAUCCCAUAAACCGUGGCUCAGUUCAGAUCGUAGGCUGCAACUCGCCUACGUGAAGGAGGAAUCGCUAGUAAUCGCAGGUCAGCAUACUGCGGUGAAUACGUUCCCGGGCCUUGUACACACCGCCCGUCACACCAUGGAAGUUGGCCAUGCCCGAAGUCGUUACUCCAACCCUUGUGGAGGAGGACGCCGAAGGUGGGGCUGAUGACUGGGGUGAAGUCGUAACAAGGUA